ensembl:snRNA U2 U2 spliceosomal RNA
AUCGCUUCUCGGCCUUUUGGCUAAGAUCAAGUGUAGUAUCUGUUUUUAUCAGUUUAAUAGUGCUGUAGUGAACAUAGGGGUGCAUGUAUCUUUUAGAAUUAAUGUUUUUGUUUCCUAUGGAUAAAUUCCAGAAGUGGAAUUUACUGGGUCAUAUGGUACUUCUACUUUAAUUUCUUGAGGAACUUCCAUACUGUUU